UUAACUAUUAAAUAGUACUCAGACGAUAUUAACAAACAGAGUUUUGGGUCCUCUGGCAGGCACGGGCCAGCCGAAGCCAGCGGUCCGAGGACGGGCCUGCCAAAGCAACAAAGGUAUAAUAAACAAAGGGUGGGAGAUCUACCCCGAAGGGCAUGUUCUCUUUAAUGAUCCUUCCGCAGGUUCACCUACGGAAA
rnacentral:misc_RNA from 1 species